UACGUAGGGUGCGAGCGUUGUCCGGAAUUACUGGGCGUAAAGAGCUCGUAGGUGGUUUGUCGCGUUGUUCGUGAAAACUCACAGCUCAACUGUGGGCGUGCGGACGAUACGGGCAGACUUGAGUUCGGCAGGGGAGACUGGAAUUCCUGGUGUAGCGGUGAAAUGCGCAGAUAUCAGGAGGAACACCGGUGGCGAAGGCGGGUCUCUGGGCCGAUACUGACGCUGAGGAGCGAAAGCGUGGGGAGCGAACAGG
rnacentral:rRNA from 1 species